GACGAACGCUGGCGGCGUGCUUAACACAUGCAAGUCGAACGGAAAGGCCCUGCUUGCAGGGUACUCGAGUGGCGAAGGGGUGAGUGACACGUGGGUGCACCGCCCUGCACUUCGGGAUAAGCCUGGGAAACGGGGAAUAAUACCGGAUAGGAGACACGUCCAGCGGGAGGGUGGGAAAGAUUUUUCGGUGUAGGAUGAGCUCGCGGCCUAUCAGCUGGUUGGUGGGGUAAUGGCCUACCAAGGCGACGACGGGUAGCCGGACUGGGGGGGUGGACGGCCACCCUGGGUCUGGGGUGCGGCCCAGGUUCCUACGAGUGGCCGCAGGGCGGAAGCUUGCUCCAUGGGCGCCAGCCUGAUGCAGCGGGGCCGCGUGUGGUAUGACGGCCUCCGUGUUGUAGACACCCUUCGCUAUGGACGCAGCCUUUUGUGACGGUACCUAGAGAAUAAGCACCGGCUAACUACGUG
rnacentral:rRNA from 1 species